UACGUAGGGUGCAAGCGUUAAUCGGAAUUAUUGGGCGUAAAGCGUACGCAGGCGGCUCGGUAAGUCGAGUGUGAAAUCCCGAGGCUCAACCUCGGACGUGCAUUCGAUACUGUCGAGCUUGAAUGCGGGAGAGGGAUGCGGAAUUCCAGGUGUAGCGGUGAAAUGCGUAGAUAUCUGGAGGAACACCGGUGGCGAAGGCGGCAUCCUGGACCGGCAUUGACGCUGAGGCGCGAAAGCCAGGGGAGCAAACGGG
rnacentral:rRNA from 1 species